GCCGGUGUUUAUGGCGUAGAGGUUCCACCUGUUCCCAUUCCGAACACAGAAGUUAAGCUCUUCAGCGUAGACGAUACUUGGUUGGCGACGACCUGGGAAAUUAUAUCGAUGCCGGCA
rnacentral:rRNA from 1 species